rnacentral:rRNA from 1 species
CACCGGCAGCUCAAGUGGUAGCCGCUUUUAUUGGGCCUAAAGCGUCCGUAGCCGGUCUGAUAAGUCUCUGGUGAAAUCCCACAGCUUAACUGUGGGAAUUGCUGGAGAUACUAUCAUGACUCGAGGUCGGGAGAGGCUGGAGGUACUCCCAGGGUAGGGGUGAAAUCCUGUAAUCCUGGGAGGACCACCUGUGGCGAAGGCGUCCAGCUGGAACGAACCUGACGGUGAGGGACGAAGACUGACGCUCAGG